rnacentral:rRNA from 1 species
CUAUUAAUAACCCCAAAAACACCGACUAUUAAACAACAAACCAUUUUUCCCCCCAAGUAUGGGCGACAGAAAAGGAUACCACAUGCGCCAUAAAAAAGUACCGCAAGGGAACGCUGAAAAAGAAAUGAAAUAAACCAGUAAAGUUAAAAAAAGCAGAGACUUUCGCUCGUACCUUUUGCAUCAUGACUUAGCUAGUAAAGAUCAAGCAAAAGGCACUUUAGUUUGACUUCCCGAAACUAAGUGAGCUACUCCAAGACAGCCUAAAAGCAGGGCUAACCCGUCUCUGUGGCAAAAGAGUGGGAUGAUCUUAGAGUAGAGGUGACAAACCUAUCGAACUUAGUCAUAGCUGGUUGCCUAAGAAAUGAAUAGGAGUUCAGCUUUUUGAUUUAUCACCUCAAAUUUAUUUUAUAUUUGUUUGACUCAGAUAAACACCAAAAAAGUUAAUUAAAGGGGGUACAGCUCCUUUAAAACAAGACACAACUUCAUCAGCCGGAUAAGGAUCAUAAUUAUUAAGGUAGAAAUGUUUUAGUGGGCCUGAAAGCAGCCACCUAUAAGAAAGCGUUAAAGCUCAUUCAUAGCCCCCCCCCCCGUCAAUUUAGAUAACAAAUCCUAAUCCGCUAAUUUUAUUAGGCCGCCCCAUGCUUACAUGGGGGCGAUCCUGCUAAUAUGAGUAAUAAGAAAAAUUCAAAAUUUUCUCCUUGCACGCGUGUAAAUCGAAACGGACCUCCCACCGAAACUUAAUCGGCCCCAAAAAGAGGGCAAUGAACUACCAACCCUGAUAACAAGAAAAACACCCAAAAAUUAGCCGUUAACCCCACACUGGUGUGCCUACAAGGAAAGACUAAAAGAAAAAGAAGGAACUCGGCAAAUAAAAGCCUCGCCUGUUUACCAAAAACACCGCCUCUUGUAUACAAAAAAUAAGAGGUCA